UUGAACGCUGGCGGCAUGCCUUACCCAUGCCAGUCGAACGGCAGCACGGGUGCUUGCACCUGGUGGCGAGUGGCGAACGGGUGAGUAAUACAUCGGAACAUGUCCUGUAGUGGGGGAUAGCCCGGCGAAAGCCGGAUUAAUACCGCAUACGAUCUACGGAUGAAAGCGGGGGACCUUCGGGCCUCGCGCUAUAGGGUUGGCCGAUGGCUGAUUAGCUAGUUGGUGGGGUAAAGGCCAACCAAGGCGACGAUCAGUAGCUGGUCUGAGAGGACGACCAGCCACACUGGGACUGAGACACGGCCCAGACUCCUACGGGAGGCAGCAGUGGGGAAUUUUGGACAAUGGGCGAAAGCCUGAUCCAGCAAUGCCGCGUGUGUGAAGAAGGCCUUCGGGUUGUAAAGCACUUUUGUCCGGAAAGAAAUCCUUGGCCCUAAUACGGUCGGGGGAUGACGGUACCGGAAGAAUAAGCACCGGCUAACUACGUG
rnacentral:rRNA from 1 species